CACGCCGUAAACGAUGAAUGCCAGUCGUCGGUGCGCAUGCGUAUCGGUGACACACCUAACGGAUUAAGCAUUCCGCCUGGGGAGUACGGUCGCAAGAUUAAAACUCAAAGGAAUUGACGGGGACCCGCACAAGCAGCGGAGCAUGUGGUUUAAUUCGAAGCAACGCGAAGAACCUUACCUGGACUUGACAUCCCCUGAAUGACUCGUAAUGGAGGAAGCCCUACGGGGCAGGGAGACAGGUGG
rnacentral:rRNA from 1 species